ACAAGUCAGCUGCCGACGAUCCAAAAUGAAAUGCAGAGGUCAUUUCCAGGUUUUUUUCGCCGUGAAAUGAUUCGCUCCAAGAAACGCCCUGCUGCUCUUUCCAAAAUAUCUCCAGCGAUAGCCAUAAAAUAUGUCAGGCUUCAGUUUUUGGUGCUGUCAAGUCCGACUGAUCGCACACCAAAGCCAUCUGAAGAAAUCAAACUCCUCGAGGCAGGCUUGGGGAAAAGAACCAUUACAGUGGCUGAUAGCUCUUGCCAUGAGGAGGUGGUCAAGGACAGAGAAAAUUGACUGUUGUCGCUACAGAGUCUGAGGGCUACACUGGACGACUCCUUAAAACGGUCACAAAUAAUGGAAAACUAAUUCUGUACAUUGUCCCACUACAAGAGGAGCUAGAUGCAAGCCCCCUCCCCCACAAUGCUCCAGAAUUUUCCAAAAUGCCAAAGUCCUCAUGCAAAAACUGUGGAGUUGUUAUGCCUUUACAGUUCCUGGCUCUGCACAUCAAAUCUUGUAAUGCUGAAAUUAGCAGUGAUGAGCCUGAAAUUGUCAGUAUUGUAGAGAAAGAAGUCAAUACUACAGAAGUAUGCCCAAUAUGUGAAAAACAAUUUCCUAGAGAGGAUAUUGCAUACCAUGCCAGCUUUUGUGGAGAUGGAUUUCCAGAAGACACCUUGAUGCCAUUACUUGAAAAUGAUGCCAGAGAGGGGACUUCAAGCACAAUUGAUUUCUUGCCUCAUGAACAAAGCACCAGUUCCACUGGUGUAGUCAAUGACAUGGCCGGACCAUCAACUAUUCUUGCUGAUC